GACGAACGCUGGCGGCGUGCUUAACACAUGCAAGUCGAACGGAAAGGCCCUGCUUGCAGGGUACUCGAGUGGCGAACGGGUGAGUAACACGUGGGUGAUCUGCCCUGCACUUUGGGAUAAGCCUGGGAAACUGGGUCUAAUACUGGAUAGGAGCAUGCUUUAGUGGGAGUGUUGGAAAGAUUUUUCGGUGUAGGAUCAGGUUGCCGCCUAUCAGCGUGUUGGUGGGGUAAUGGCCCAGCAAGGACGCGACGGGUAGCCGGCCGGGGGGGGUGGACGGCCACGUUGGGACUGAGAUACAGACCAGACCCGGACGGAGGAGAGCGGAAGCGAGUAUUACGCGAUGAGGACAGAUGUAGCGCAGCGGCGCCGGGGGUGGGGGGACGACGUUCGGAUUGUAAAUUCAUUUCUCUAGAAGCGAAGCUUGGUGUGACGGUACCGGGAGAAGAAGCACCGGCUAACUACGUG
rnacentral:rRNA from 1 species